rnacentral:lncRNA from 1 species
CUUCUGCUGGGGGCAUGUGCAGGCAUGGAGACUGCCCGGCCCCUUCCUGUCCUGUUGGGGCAUGAUUUUCAACAGAGGGAGGAUUCUGGGCAUGUUUUCCUUUGGAAGUCUCACCAGGCUGAGCAGGACUUAGAGGAACUCCGGCUACGUUUGCUGUCCCAACAAAUAGACCAGGGUUCCCUAAGUGUCGCUUCCUCCAAGAAGCCCUCCCUGAUGAGUUGAGCCACUUUAGUUUGUGCUCAGGCUCACCCUGCACGUCUUGGUUGCUCUCAUCACUGUAAUGAUCUAAAACACACGUCUGCUCAUGAGACCCGCAUCCCACCCCCGAUGCUGGGGCCGCUCUUGGAUUUUCAUGCCUGCUGCCAGCACCCAGGGGGAGCUCCGGAAAUGUCUGCUGGGGGCUCGGAAUACCCACCUUUCUGGUAAUGCAGCCCAGCGGGUCCCAGCCUCGUUUUCCAGCCCUCACUCAAAAUGGAGUCGCUCUGGUUCGAACGCCUCUGACAAGUGUGUACCUACGUGUCAGGCCCAUCCUUCCUGCAGGCCUUUGUCUUGGUGUCACCCUGCCUGAGCUGGCCCCAACCACAGUAGCAACAGUGAUGCUGAUGUGUGACUGCUGCCAGGAGCCUGCUCACAUGACCGUGUGGAGAAAGUUCUUUCCCUGAGGACCAUCUGGAGUGGACGCGUGCACUACCCCUCUCUGAAUACACCCUCCCCACGAGGCCCUCUGGAGCAUCCUGUAGAGCCAGCCCCUACCCAGAGACCCUGAGCCCAGAGAAUGCGCUGGGUGGUGAGCCUGGGGACGAAUGCAGAGCCCUAGGUCUCCUCUCCAGAAAGACCGGAUUUUGCCAUGUUGGCCAGGCUGGUCUUGAACUCCUGACCUCAAGUGAUCCACCUGCCUCGGCCUCCCAAAGUGCAGGGAUUACAGGUGUGAGCCACUGCACCCGGCCUCAGGCAGGUAUUUUUACCAGCCGAAUACUCUUGCACUGUGCACUCUUCGUGUUCAUCAUCAGUCCCCCGGAUGGGUGUUUAAGGCAUUUCCAAAGCUCUGUUAUUAAAAACACGAUGCAAUGAGUUUCUUUCAGCAUUUCCCCUUGUUGCCGUGUGAAU